GCUUUAAUAGUUUAAUUAACAAAAUAUUAUAUUGUGGAGAUAAAGAUACGUAUGUUUAAGGCA
rnacentral:tRNA from 1 species